rnacentral:rRNA from 1 species
UACGUAGGGGGCAAGCGUUGUCCGGAAUCAUUGGGCGUAAAGCGCGUGUAGGCGGCUUGGUAAGUCCGGUGUGAAAACUUGGGGCUCAACCCCAAGCCUGCACUGGAUACUGCCUCGCUCGAGUCCGGGAGAGGAGAGCGGAAUUCCUAGUGUAGCGGUGAAAUGCGCAGAUAUCAGGAAGAACACCCGUGGCGAAAGCGGCUCUCUGGAACGGUACUGACGCUGAGACGCGAAAGCGUGGGGAGCGAACAGG